AUCAUUGCGUGACAAACAACAUAUUCAUUUAUUUGAGAGAAAUGACUGUACAUUUGAAAAACAGGAAGAGGAAAGAUAAAUAAAGCUUUAUUUAUUUAACAAAAAAAAUCAUCCAACUAAACAAAAUCCACAGUUAUCAUAGUUUGAAAUUUGUACAUAAAAUAUAUUUACAAAAUGUGUUGCUUUGCCCUUUCUUUGUACAUAAAAUGAGAAACAAACAUUGUACCUUUUGUUUUUAGUACAAAUACAUUUCAAAAAGCCCACGGUUUAAUGCAAGUGUGUAAAAGUCCUUAUGAAUGGUUUUAUUAAAAUUCUAGCGCACGCUGAAUGGAACAACGUUAGGGAGGAGAGAGGGGGGCCCAAACCACCACAAACCUCCGAGCUUCUGUCACUUUAGCUUAUUACGAUCGAGACAUCCAAAGCGGCACAUUGUGUAUCGAACGUUUUGUGGAUCCUCUGGAGUCACUUCCACUCAUUCAAAAUUACAGGACGAGUGAAAGCCGCUGCACCACAGCUGGUAAAUCUAAUGUCGAUAUUUAAAUGAAUUGAUCCUUCUCUCCACAGCAGAAGCGAGACUGCCACUAUGUGCGAUGUGCUUGCUAAUUUCAGAAAAAUUAGGUAGCUGAAUUCAUAGCUCCGCAUUACAGCAAAAACCAUGAGUGGGAAAUACAUUCAGAUUCAACAUGUUAAACACUGUAAUACAUUCACAAGGAUUGCCAUCUGAGACACUUCCCUUCAAAUGUGUUUUUUUGGUUUAUUUCAGUUCAUCUACUCCAUUCCGACUGGAAUCCAAAUUAGGUGAUUAUUUUAUUAACAUAUAAAGGAAUUUUUAAAAAUAUUUUCUGUCAGUGAAAAGCAAGAAAAAGAAAACCAUCAGUGUGUGAAGAGGCUGGUGACACUAAAAAUAGCUUACACGCUAAACUGUUCUGUUAUAGAAUAGCUACAUGAUUCAACAUGUAAACUGAGCCAUGUUUGUGCUCACAUAGUUCUUAGCGUGUCGUUAGUCGGUUAGCUAACUCUCUCUUCAAAAUGACGUUAGCAUUAAAGUUAAAAAGCUGUUUUCGCCAGCAGAAGACACGUUGACGUUAGCUAGAGGGCUAAAGUAGCGCGCGGCCUCUUUGUAACGGUUAGAGCCUGAAGCGUACAGUGUAGAAUUAAACCUCUGCACGCAGAAUGACAAGUUAAUGCAGACAUGAAAAUAACCUUUCCUCCCUCCCUUUAUUUAAUUAACUAAAGAGUGCAUAUAGUUUCUUGUUUAGGGAGCAGAACUUUAACUGGUCACUGGUUUUAAUGCUGUGUGGUACUGAAGAAAUUACAUUUUGUAAUCGAUUGGUAUUCAUGAGAAUUUCCACGGAUAGAAAUCAGUAUUUGCUUCUCGAGUCUCCAAAGAAGGUUUUCUUUGCCCUUGAACCUGAAGACCGGAAGGAAGACCGACCGCCUCUGGUGUUCUCACACUCUCCGUGUCAGAGGACAAUGUGCCACCGAGGGCUGGAAUAUUGUUCUCCAGCCCCGGCGUCUUGAAGCUCUUCUCAGCAGAGAACAGGAGAAGAAAAUCAAUGCAGGUUUUUUUAAUCGCACAGUGGAUGAACGGGAGCAGCAGGGCUGAGGAGGAUAACCAGCAUCGGAAAUCACGCAAUGUUCAGUUCAUAGGGGGAGGAUUUUGUUGAAGGGGUCGGGUAUUAACGGAUACUGAGCUUUGGCUUCUAUUCGUCCUUUUCAGAUCAAAAUAACGGGGAUUUUAUGCAACGCUCAAAGGGAUUAUGGGUCGAUUUUAAGUAUCUGUAAAGUUCCUUUGAGAGAAACUAUUUAUAAAUAGUUAUCCCCGUUUAAAAGGCCCGUCCAUGAGCCUUCCUUUGACAAUCCACAGUAUCUCUAUGUGUACUGAUCGACCAAAUACAAUGUAAAACCAAUGAUUGUCUCUCUUUGAAGACUUCAGUAGGGCUUAACUAAAUUAUAAUUUUCCUUUUAAAAUCAACGAUUAUUACAGAGGGGCAAAUUAAUGCAAUAUUAUUAAUAUAGUAAUACAAUUAUCCAAAUUGAUUUACAUCAACGUGGAUGUUUGAGUCAAUCUGCUGACGAAGUCAAAUGCUCCUGGAGAACUCUGGAGAUAUUAAUAAAAGUCAAGAACGAACUACAGAGCUCAGUUAAAGUGACGUUUUAAAUGUGUAAAACAUUAACAACCACAUUUGGUUUUGUUCCAUUUCUCAACGUGCCAAAGGUCGUUCAUUUGGACCGUAGAGGCAGAAACGUGAUAUGACCACGUCAUCACAGUAUGAAUCUAGGACGAGCCGGUUUAUUCUAUAUUACUUUUACUAUUCUGUCAUUGCCGAAUGGUUUCAGAGAGUUUUAAUGGACGUGCAAAAGGGUGAGAUGUAGAUAAACAUCAAAUACUCAACUCAAAACCGGUGUGCUACAUGUUACAAAAGGGUAAAAGAACGAGCUCCUGGGGAUCUGUGUCAUCACAAAACAUUGACGAUAUAUUAAGAAUAAAAUCUGCAGCUAUGAAAGGCAGAUUGGUUUGGAUUUAAAUGCAGCUCAUUUGUUAGUGAUGUUCCCACGCAAAUGACUGUAACCAACGUGUGAUGAGAUCAUUAAGGGGAAAUGGCAAACCGUUAAAAUGAGGCAUCACUCACUCAUUAUAUACAUACAAAUACACACACACACACAUAUAUAUAUAUAUAUAUAUAUAUAUAUAUAUAUAUAUGUGUGUAUUUUAAGUUGCACUGCUGUGAUUGUCACACCAAAAAGGCGUUCAUGGAUUCAUCUGAUCUGUUUGAUGACAGAUUUCCUUUGCUUGGCGAUUGUGAAGCACCUGUCCUGCAGUGACUGCGUCCAUCAGACGGAGACCAUGUCAGAGACUUAAGGCACUACAAGUGUUGAAGCUACAGUCUGGAUUCUGGAGGAGGUUUGAGGGUCCCUACAGCCAGGAGACAUCAGGAAUACCUCUUCCUCUUGAUGGAUUUACUAAUGGAAGGAGGGAGGGGAGGGGAGGGGCGUACUUGUUGAUCAAAGACCCCCUGAUUGAGUCAGUGCUUGUUGCAGGUUAGUUGGAUCGUCUUCCUUUCGGUCGGGACAGUGUCCAAGUCCAUGCGGCCUGCAAAGGAGACCCAUGUGGGCAUUUCAUUUCCAAAUAGAGAGCUAAGGGGUCACUCAGGGGUCCACAUGUAAGCUGUCCCUGUCCUCAGCAGAAGAAGAUGUCCCCGUCGUUCUGAGGAUCCAACAUCACUCCAGCUGUGAGAGACAGGAAGCCACAGGUCAGAAUCUGGCAUAUUCUUCAGCGAGCUUUAGAGGAGCUCGUAGUUUGGAACGGAGCCAGUGUAGCUCGUAAAAAGUCACGCCUCAUAAUACUUAAUAAUUAAACGAC
ensembl:lncRNA